GGCUCCAUAGUUCAGAAGAGUAGAACGCCGGCCUGUCACGCCGGAGGUCACGGGUUCGAGUCCCGUUGGAGUCG
rnacentral:tRNA from 1 species